GAUGAACGCUAGCGGCAGGCUUAAUACAUGCAAGUCGAGGGGUAGCAAGAUUGUAGCAAUACAAUUGUUGACGACCGGCAAACGGGUGCGGAACACGUACACAACCUUCCUACAAGUGGGGAAUAGCCCAGAGAAAUUCGGAUUAAUACCCCGUAACAUAGCGAUGUGGCAUCACAUUGCUAUUAUAGCUUCGGCGCUUGUUGAUGGGUGUGCGGCUGAUUAGAUAGUUGGCGGGGUAACGGCCCACCAAGUCUACGAUCAGUAGCUGAUGUGAGAGCAUGAUCAGCCACACGGGAACUGAGACACGGGCCCGACUCCUACGGGAGGCAGCAGUAAGGAAUAUUGGACAAUGGACGCAAGUCUGAUCCAGCCAUGCCGCGUGAAGGAUUAAGGUCCUCUGGAUUGUAAACUUCUUUUAUAAGGGACGAAAAAAGGUCUUUCUAGAUCGUCUGACGGUACCUUAUGAAUAAGCACCGGCUAACUACGUGCCAGCAGCCGCCGUAAUAC
rnacentral:rRNA from 1 species